CGGGAGCCCGGGGCUGCCCGGGCCGGAGGCGCUGCUCCCCGCUCUCGUCCGCCCGGGCUGCGCGACAGUUCCUGUCGGAUUCCGGCGAACCUGUAAUGUAAUGAAUGACAGGACGAUCUAGCUCCUUGUGUAGCUAACUAGGUCACUGUCAGCACUUAAUUACUGUUUGUUUCAUUUUAGUGCGUGCCUUAUGAAUAAACCGGCUAUUAGGCUGAUGCUUCAAGUAACACUACCCAGCACCAAGUUUCCAGAGGCUCGAAUUUGGAACUCAGAAAAUAAGAAGCACUUCGUUAGAAGACACCAGUUCCAUGAUCACAGCCUAACACUGGAACAGUUUCGUCAACUAGAUGGAUGUCCUGGGAGAAUUCCCAAAGGAUUACUUACUUUGCUAAUCUCUGCUCAAGGACUUCUGGUGGCUUCAUUGCUAACAAAGGCUUAG
rnacentral:lncRNA from 1 species